rnacentral:rRNA from 1 species
GACGAACGCUGGCGGCGCGCUUAACACAUGCAAGUCGAACGGAAAGGCCUGCUUUCCCUUGUGGAUUGCGGGUACUCGAGUGGCGAACGGGUGAGUAACACGUGAGUGAUCUGCCCCCAACUUGGGUAUAAGCCUGGGAAACUGGGUCUAAUUCCCGAUAGGACUGCAGGGUGGUGCCUGUGGUGGAAAACGAUUUACUAGUGGUUGGGGAUGAGCUCGCGGCCUAUCAGCUUGUUGGUGGGGUAAUGGCCUACCAAGGCGGCGACGGGUAGCCGGCCUGGGAGCGUGGACGGCCGCAUUGGGACUGAGAUACGGCCCAGACUCCUACGGGAGGCAGCAGUGGGGAAUAUUGCACAGUGGGCGGGAGCCUGAUGCAGCGACGCCGCGUGGGGGAUGACGGCCUUCGGGUUGUAAACUCCUUUCGACCGCGAGGAAGCCACCUGGUUGGAAGGGUGGUGACGGUAGUGGUAGAAGAAGCACCGGCUAACUACGUG